UACGUAGGGUGCAAGCGUUAAUCGGAAUUACUGGGCGUAAAGGGUGCGUAGGCGGUUCGUUAAGUCUGUCGUGAAAUCCCCGGGCUCAACCUGGGAAUGGCGAUGGAUACUGGCGAGCUAGAGUGUGUCAGAGGAUGGUGGAAUUCCCGGUGUAGCGGUGAAAUGCGUAGAGAUCGGGAGGAACAGCAGUGGCGAAGGCGGCCAUCUGGGACAACACUGACGCUGAAGCACGAAAGCGUGGGAGCAAACAGG
rnacentral:rRNA from 1 species